GGGGACGUAACAAAGCGACCCAAGAAUGCUUGGGCGUGCCUCCACCCACGCCGGCGUCGGCGGGCGUAUUUCGCCUCACAGUAGGGCGCCGCGACCCGUUGCUUUUGGGGACGUCGAAGGCCCGGACGGAUUGGUACCCUACCGGCUGGGGAUGCGGCUUCGGCUUCUCCUCUUGUCCGGUGGGCGAAACCGCCGGUGUCCUGGCUGCCCUGCGACGGUCGUAGAGACGAGCCCCUCCCAUUCGUGGGGGGCGGCUCUCGCGGCGUGCAAAAAGGUCGGUGAUCCACCCGACCCGUCUUGAAACACGGACCAAGGAGUCUAACAUGUGUGCGAGUCAGUGGGCGCACUAAACCCAGAGGCGUAAUGAAAGUGACACGGGUUCGGCUGUCGCCUCGUGUGGCAGCCGGACUCAGGGCCGAUCCCUCACCGGUUGCCCUCGCCUCUCUCCCGCGUCUCGGUAAGCCGGGUGAGCUAUUUUCCCCGGCCGCUGCUGCGGGGCUCGGGGGGAGGCGGGGUGCGAUGGUGUCCGUCAAAAAGAGCCUGCUGUUGCAGGGGGGCGCAGGCCCGGGACUUGCCAGGACGCCGCGAGACUGUCACUUUGCUGUGAGGCUCCAGGGCCGAUCAGCGGGUCAUGCGUGCAGUCGGCAAGUACCAUGAGCAGACAUGUUGGGACCCGAAAGAUGGUGAACUAUGCCUGGCCAGGAUGAAGCCAGAGGAAACUCUGGUGGAGGUCCGUAGCGAUUCUGACGUGCAAAUCGAUCGUCGGAGCUGGGUAUAGGGGCGA
rnacentral:rRNA from 1 species